rnacentral:lncRNA from 1 species
UGCCCCUCACAGUCCUCAAUCUUCUGAUGAGCUUGCAGAAAUUUGUUGAUUCGGUCAUUAUCCCUCAGGCUGCACUACUACAGAAUAAGCCCUUUGGUCACUUGCCCAAAAUAAACAAUAAUCUAGGCCCAAUCAGCGUUCGGAACAAAAACAUCUUUAGUCCCGGUUGGUGAGACCAACCGGGACUAAAAGUCCUCUGCCCAACGGCUAUGGUGUCAGAGAUCGGCAGAAGAGACCUUUAGUCCCGAUUGGUCUCCCCAACCGGGACUAGCCUUUGGUCCCGGUUGGUAACACCAACCAGGAUUAAAAGAUGUUGUCCCGGUCCGUCUCACCGGUCGGGACUAAUGUUGGACUUUAGUCCUGGUUGUUAAUUAAAUGGAACCGGGACUAAAUGUCCUUCCCCAUAUUUGAACUCUUCUUCUUCCCCUGGCCGAGCCCAUCGAUCUUCACUCUUUUGCUGUGUUCUUAAUUUGGAGUUGCUUGUUCUUGCUCUCAUCUCUGGCUAUUGAUUCAUUUCAUCAUUUCUACGCAUCAUCGACUUGUUAAAAGGUCACUAGCUUCAUCUUCUCAACAUUUAGUAGCGACAUAUGCCAUUUCCUAGUGUUAUGUAUGUUGUUUUUUAUUUUAUGGUUUUUAAAGAGGUUACUAGCUUCAUCGUCUUCUCAACAUCGAUGUGUUUUUUUAGAGAAAUAGUGAUACUAUGUUUUUUUUUAUUUUAAUUAGUUUAGAAAAAAAUUAAAAACGUAUAAUACUCUAAUUUGUAAUUUUUGACCGAUUUAAUUAGUUAAUUAUAACUAGUAUGUAUACCACAUUUCAUGAUUAUUUAGAAAAAUAUAGAAUUUUUGUGCUUUUUUAAUUUUGCUUGUUUAGAGAAAUUAGAAAUAGAGAAUUUUAGGUUUUUUGUUAGUUUAAUUUCUCUAUUAAAAAUUAAAAACUUAUAAUACUUUAAUUUACAAUUUAUGACAAGGUUAAUUAGUUAAUUAUAACUAGUAUGCAUGCCACAUUUCAUGAUUAGUUAGAAAAAUAGAGAACUUUUAUGUCUUUUUAAUUUUGCUGGUUUAGAAAAAUUAGAAAUAGAGAAUUUUAGGUUAUUUGUUACUUUAAUUUCUGUAUAAAAAAUUAGAAACUUAUAAUACUUUGCGUUGCAAUGCAGACAAUGACACAUCAUUGGAUGUACAAUGUCGAUCGCCGCUCCAAAUAAUUCAUUGAUGGUGUGCAUAGAGUGGCCGAGGAAAACAAGCGGGAUGGAUUCAUAUGUUGCCCAUGUGCCUUGUGUCAGAAUUUGAAGGAAUAUUCUAGCUCUAGAAAUAUUCACUAACAUUUGUUGAAGUCGGGUUUUAUGCCAAACUAUAUUUGUUGGACCAAGCAUGGAGAAAACGAUAUAAUGAUGGAAGAAGAUGAAGAAGAACAGUUGGAGCCUGACGACAUUAUUGCUCAAUACGACAUUAUUGCUCAAUACGGUGACUUCGGUGAUACAGCAAUGGGAGAAGCUGAAGAUGAGGCAGGUGCAGAAGGCGCACCUGUUGAAGAUGAUGCUCUUGGUGAUGUCAUUCGUGAUGCACAGAAAGAUUGCGAAAGUGAAAAAGAGAAGACAAAGUUUGACCACAUGUUAGAAGAUCACAAGAAAUUACUAUACCCAUCUGCCCAGGAUGGGCAAAAAAAAUAGGUACAACACUGGAGUUGUUAAAAUAGAAGGCACAUAAUGGUGUAUCCGAUAAGGCAUUUGGUAAUUUCUGAAGAUCCAAAAAAAGAUGCUGCCAAAGCCUAAUGAACUGCCCACUACUACAUACGAAGCAAAACAGAUCGUCUGUCCUUUGGGAUUAAAAAUCAAGAAGAUACAUGCAUCUUCUAACGACUGCAUCCUAUACAGUGGCAAGGACUACGAGAAUUUAGAUGAAUGCCCCGUAUGUAAAGCAUCACGGUAUAAGAUCAGGCGAGAUGACCCUAGCGA